rnacentral:rRNA from 1 species
GACGAACGCUGGCGGCGUGCCUAAUACAUGCAAGUCGAACGCAGUGGGGACGGGUGAGUAACACGUGGGUAACCUCCCAUCAGAGGGGAUAACACUUGGAAACAGGUGCUAAACCGAUACUGAUGGAUGGACUCGCGGUGCAUCAGCUAGGUGGUGAGGUAACGGCUCACCAAGGCCACGAUGCAUAGCCGACCUGAGAGGAUGAUCGGCAACACUGAGACUGAGACACUGUCCAGACUCCUACGGGAGGCAGCAGUAGGGAAUCUUCGGCAAUGGACGAAAGUCUGACCGAGCAACGCCGCGUGAGUGAAGAAGGUUUUCGGAUCAUAAAACUCUGUUGUUAGAGAAGCGGUAUCUAACCAGAAGGCCGCGGCUAACUACGUGCGAGCAGCCGCGGUAAUUC